GAUGAACGCUGGCGGCGUGCCUAAUACAUGCAAGUCGAGCGAACAGACGAGGAGCUUGCUCCUUCGACGUUAGCGGCGGACGGGUGAGUAACACGUAGGUAACCUACCUAUAAGACUGGGAUAACUUCGGGAAACCGGAGCUAAUACCGGAUAAUAUUUCGAACCGCAUGGUUCGAUAGUGAAAGAUGGCUUUGCUAUCACUUAUAGAUGGACCUGCGCCGUAUUAGCUAGUUGGUAAGGUAACGGCUUACCAAGGCAACGAUACGUAGCCGACCUGAGAGGGUGAUCGGCCACACUGGAGCUGAGACACGGUCCAGACUCCUACGGGAGGCAGCAGUAGGGAAUCUUCCGCAAUGGGCGAAAGCCUGACGGAGCAACGCCGCGUGAGUGAUGAAGGUCUUCGGAUCGUAAAACUCUGUUAUUAGGGAAGAACAAACGUGUAAGUAACUGUGCACGUCUUGACGGUACCUAAUCAGAAAGCCACGGCUAACUACGU
rnacentral:rRNA from 1 species